rnacentral:rRNA from 1 species
UUUAAUUCGAUGAUACGCGAGGAACCUUACCUAGGCUAGAAUGCGCGUGACCGGCUCAGAGAUGAGCCUUUCCUUCGGGACACAAAGCAAGGUGCUGCAUGGCCGUCGUCAGCUCGUGCCGUGAGGUGUUGGGUUAAGUCCCGCAACGAGCGCAACCCCUAUGGUUAGUUGCCAGCACGUAAUGGUGGGAACUCUAGCCAGACUGCCUGCGCAAGCAGUGAGGAAGGCGGGGACGACGUCAGGUCAUCAUGGCCCUUACGCCUAGGGCGACACACGUGCUACAAUGGACGGUACAGCGGGUAGCUACCAGGCGACUGGAUGCCAAUCUCGAAAAGCCGUUCUCAGUUCGGAUUGGAGUCUGCAACUCGACUCCAUGAAGCUGGAAUCACUAGUAAUCGCGCAUCGGCCAUGGCG